rnacentral:RNase_P_RNA from 1 species
CCAGACGGUCGGAUGGUCGCCUUUCGAGCCUAACCGCUCGGGGGGAGGAAAGUCCGGGCUCCACGGAGACACGGUGCCGGAUAACACCCGGCGGGGGCGACCCCAGGGAGAGUGCCACAGAAAGCAAACCGCCAGCCUUGGCCCGGCAACGGGUCACCCGGCAACGGGAGGCAGGUAAGGGUGAAAGGGUGCGGUAAGAGCGCACCGCGCGACCGGCAACGGAAGCGGCACGGUAAACCCCACCAGGAGCAAGUCCAAGUAGGGGCAGCAGCCGGUUCGACCGGCAGGCGGGUUUUCGCGCCGUUGCCCGGGUCGGACGCACGAGGCACUCGGUAACGGGUGUCCCAGAUGAAUGACCAUCCCCUGCCCUCCCUUAAAAGAGACGCAGGGACAGAACCCGGCUUACAGACCGUCUGGCACU